CAUUCCGUGGUAUAUAGCUUCUGCUCCUGUCCUAGGUGACCACCAGCCCUCCUAGCCCUCGAGCUGGUUGGUUCCUGGACAUGGUCCCAGAGAAGAAGCCAUGUCCGUGGACACGAGCGUGAAGGAAGCUGCUGAGGGAAGAGACAUUUUCCUAAGUCAGAUCCAUCCAUCCAUUCAGUGGCCCAUGUCUAGGGCUGAGACUGGAUUGUUGGUCCACAUCAGGCAUCAGGAAAGCUGACGAGCACAUUCCUGAACCACUACAGCCUCAGGUUCACGCAAACAGAGCUAACAGUGGCUUGGCCUCCCUGCCUGACCCUCUACCUCUGCUCUUGGAUGAAGGCAUGUCUGUUUGUAUUUCCCAAGGCUCAGCCCUGCACAGUGGGGAGCCCAGCUGGAUCCCUGAUGCCACAAAGACAACCAAUUGGAUCACACAGCUGGUGUGGAAUGCUCUCAGCUGCCAUUUCCUCCUCUCAGCUUGGGCACAACGAGGCUAAAAAUGACUAUUUCACAGGGCUUUUGUGAAGAUUAAAUAACAUAUAUCUC
rnacentral:lncRNA from 1 species